rnacentral:rRNA from 1 species
AACGAACGCUGGCGGCAGGCCUAACACAUGCAAGUCGAGCGAAACCUUCGGGUCUAUCGGCGGACGGGGGUGUAACGCGUGGGAACGUUCCCUUGUCUACGGACUAGCCUCGGGAAACUGAGCAUAAUACCGAAUACGCGCUUUGGGGGGAAGAUUUAUCGAAGAAGAAUCGGCCCGCGUUGGAUUAGGUAGUUGGUGAGGUAAUGGCUUACCAAGCCAACGAUCCGUAGCCGGCUGGAGAGGGUGAUCAGCCACACUGGGACUGAGACACGGCCCAGACUCCUACGGGAGGCAGCAGUAAGGAAUCUUCCGCAAUGGGCGAAAGCUGGACGGAGCAACGCCGCGUGAGUGAUGAAGGUCUUCGGAUCGGAAAACUCUGUUAUGAGGGAAGAACAAAUGUGUAAGUAACUAUGCACGUCUUGACGGUACCUAAUCAGAAAGCCACGGCUAACUACGUG